rnacentral:miRNA from 1 species
UGACUUCAGUAGGAGCAGGAUU